rnacentral:tRNA from 1 species
GGAGGCGGAUUGGGCCCGGUGGCCCUCCUGGUCUUCAAAACCAGCGGCGGGCCUAAUAAGCCCGCGGUGGGUUCGACCCCCACACGCCUCCGCCA